rnacentral:rRNA from 1 species
CUGCUUCGCUGACGAGUGGCGGACGGGUGAGUAAUGUCUGGGAAACUGCCUGAUGGAGGGGGAUAACUACUGGAAACGGUGGCUAAUACCGCAUAACGUCGCAAGACCAAAGAGGGGGACCUUCGGGCCUCUUGCCAUCAGAUGUGCCCAGAUGGGAUUAGCUUGUUGGUGAGGUAACGGCUCACCAAGGCGACGAUCCCUAGCUGGUCUGAGAGGAUGACCAGCCACACUGGAACUGAGACACGGUCCAGACUCCUACGGGAGGCAGCAGUGGGGAAUAUUGCACAAUGGGCGCAAGCCUGAUGCAGCCAUGCCGCGUGUAUGAAGAAGGCCUUCGGGUUGUAAAGUACUU